UAAACGCAGAUAUCAUCAAAACGACUAAAUUUAAAGAGUUCGAGCAUGUAUGGGUGAAAGUGCAAAUAGCAGGUGAAACACAUGUUUUUGUCUCUGUGUACUUUCCACCCGGUAAUGCACGUAAAGUUAUCUAUGAAAAAUUCUAUCAUAAUGCUGAAAAUAUCAUUAGCAAUUUUCCCCCCGAAAUAAAAGUGCAUAUUUAUGGAGACUUCAAUCAACGUGCUAUCGAUUUCAUCCCAGACGUUGACAAUGAGAGCAUCUUGCUACCAAUUUACGGAGAGAAUGAAGCGGUGCAAUUUAUAUGCGAUAGUUCUGCAAGUCUUGGUCUCAAUCAUAUUAAUAAUGUUAAAAAUCAACAGAAUCGCUAUUUGGAUCUUUUAAUGACGAAUAUUGAUGAAGAUUUCUGUGUGGUAGAAUCAUUGCAUCCCUUAUGGAAAAAUGAACUAUUUCAUACAGCAAUUGAAUUCUCUCUAAUUGUGCAUGUAAACAAUAGACCUGAAGAAUGUGUUUUUGAAGAGUUCAUGAUUAUCGUUCUGCAAAUUAUGAUAAUAUACGACAACAAAUUUCUCUGGUGAAUUGGCAAAAUGUGUUAGGAAAUGAAGAAAAUGUUGAAGAUGCCGUUACAACAUUUUACAGAAUAUUAUACGAUAUAAUUCACGACAAUAUACCUUUGAAGAAAAGAAGACAUCAUCAUACCUCAAGGUACCCCAUUUGGUUCAAUCGAGAAAUUAAAAACCUGAAGAACAGAAAGCAGAAAGCACAUAAAGCAUACAAAAAAUACAGGAAUGAUCAAAGCUUAUCCAAUUAUUUAAAUAUUUGUGACCAAUUAAAUCAUGCCAUUGAUAUUGCAUCCGAGGAGUAUAAAGAGAAAACUGAGCGGGAAAUAAAAUCAUGCCCGAAGAAUUUUUUCAAUUACGUUAAAACUAAAUUAAAAUCUGACAAUUUUCCACCUGAAAUGCACCUUGACGAAAAAGUUAGAGUAGACUCUGAAGCAAAUUGCAAUCUUUUUGCAACAUUCUUUGAAGUAGUCUACACCACACAUUCAGAGGAAAAUCGGGAUCGUGAAUAUUUUUCAUUUCUUCCUGAGCUAUCUAAAGACAUCAACGUUCAUCAAAUCAAAGUACAUGACAUAACGGACGCAUUAAAAAGUCUAGAUGCCUCCAAAGGUGCUGGUCCGGAUGGGAUUCCACCAGUAUUCUUGAAAAAUGUAUCAGUAGAACUUACAUCCCCGUUAUACUGGCUUUAUAACAUGUCACUGGAAUCAGGUAGUUUCCCUGAAACGUGGAAAAGCUCUUUUUUAGUGCCAAUUUUCAAAAGUGGCAAAAAAUUCAACGUACGUAGUUACCGUGGAAUAGCUAUAAUCUCUUGCAUUCCGAAGAUCUUUGAGGCAAUAAUCAAUAAAACUUUAUUCGACAUGGUCAAAAACAGAAUAACUCACACGCAACACGGGUUUUUUAAAGGACGUUCAACAUGUACAAACUUGCUCGAAUUCAUACAUUAUUCGUUAACGGCCAUGGACAAUGGCAAUCAUGUGGAAGUUCUCUUUACAGACUUCAGUAAAGCUUUUGAUCGAAUUGACGUACCUGUGGCAUCCUGAUGUAAGUGUGUGGGUAGCGACCAGUCAGUUGACUAGAUGAUUAGCAAUGGAACGGUAGUGCAGUCACAUUGCCAGAAUUAGACUAUAAAUUAGUAGUGUCAGUUAGAGUAAUUGUGAAGUGAUAGAUAUAGAAAUUGUAGGAUAUCACAUUGGCGAUCCUGCCACGACGUUGGCAAGUGUUCAUAGUGCAAUUUAAAUUAAAUUGAAAAUAAAAAUAAAAAGGUAAAAGAUUUCAAGACAUAUAUUGUUUGCGAGUGUGAGUGAUGUUAGUGUCAAUUAUGUUUCCAAUAUGAGGUAAGGUGUUCAUGCGACAUGGUUGCCAAAAAUGAUUAUAACCAAAAAAAAAAAAAUGUUGAGUCGGGUAAAGCCCAAGGCCAACAGAGCUGCAAGUGUUGAGUCGGGUAAAGCCCAAGACCAAUACAAAAAAAAAACCUUCCUAAUGUUGAGUCGGGAUAAGCCCAAGGCCAACAGAAGUGCAUGUAUUGAGUCGGGUAAAGCCCAAGACCAAUACAAUAAACAAAACAAAAUGCUUGCGUAGAGUACGGCUCAUUACCAAGCCUUUUAAAUGUUGAGCCGGGAGAAGCCCUAGGCCAACAGAAGUGCGUGCAUUGAGUCGGGUAAAGCCCAAGACCGAUACACUAAAAUCCAUGGUGCUGAAUCCAGAAUUGCUUAAAACAAAACAAAACAAAAGAACAAUAAAACGUGGAAAAUAUGUUAUGGUUAGUUGUAGCAAUACGGACAAAAUUACAUCGAUACCUGAAAACAAGUUGAGAAAGUGGCAAGUGAAAGCAACGGUUGAGGAGCUAAUGGUCCAUUUUACGAGCCGAAUUUUUGAAUGAAAAUUUGACAGGAGCUCGCUCCUUAAUACGUGGAAAUUAAUAUCAUCAUCAGCAUUGUUGUCGUUUCGUACAAUGGCUCAUACAACAAGAUUAUGUACAUAUUAUUUCUGGCUGCACGGCUCAAGCACUAACGGUUGUCUGAUGACAACGAAGUGUUCAUUUUCUGUUACCUGGCUGUGUGCGUGUCAAGGCACAUUUGAUUUUCUGCUCGUUCAGCCAGCGAUGGUCCGUGGUGAGGAAGGUAACUGCCGUGGGGGGAAGGUAAGAUCAACACGAGGUGAUGUUUUGGAAGGUUUAGAUUUGCAGAGUGGAAAAUGCGGACAUAAGUUUUUUCUACUAUUAUUUAGUUUGUUUUUUUGGCUUCGUUCCUUACUUCAUGCGCAUGCGAUAAUUAUACGAUAUUGUUGGGAAGUGGCGCUGUAAAGAAGAACAGUCAAGAGAACAGCUGUGAUUAUUUUGCAUGUUGCGUGUAGCAAACAGAGCGCACAGUGGUUCACUGUAGAUCAAAUACUAAUCAAAAUAUUUUGCUCAAAACCUUCAAAAACGUAUGAAAAUCGCGAAAUUUAUCGCAAUUUUUCGCCAAAUGCAUCUACCUAUAAUCAAAAGCUAUUAUCUUUCAAAAUCACCCAACGUAUCGCUGACGUGCACAUUUUAAUAUUUAAGAAAUAUGUUCACACAAAAUAGACAUUUUUAAUAACUAAAAUCAGUUUAAAUUUAUCGUUUUGGAUUUCAACAACUGAAAUGUUCAAGAUGUUGAUAAAAGUGUUACGGAUGUAAAA